rnacentral:rRNA from 1 species
UGGAGGAAAGCAGGGGAUCGCAAGACCUUGCGCUAAAGGAGCGGCCGAUGUCUGAUUAGCUAGUUGGUGGGGUAAAGGCUUACCAAGGCAACGAUCAGUAGUUGGUCUGAGAGGACGGCCAACCACACUGGGACUGAGACACGGCCCAGACUCCUACGGGAGGCAGCAGUGGGGAAUUUUGGACAAUGGGCGAAAGCCUGAUCCAGCCAUGCCGCGUGAGUGAAGAAGGCCUUCGGGUUGUAAAGCUCUUUUAGUCGGAAAGAAAGAGUCGCAAUGAAUAAUUGUGAUUUAUGACGGUACCGACAGAAAAAGCACCGGCUAACUACGUGCCAGCAGCCGCGGUAAUACGUAGGGUGCGAGCGUUAAUCGGAAUUACUGGGCGUAAAGGGUGCGCAGGCGGUUUUGCAAGUCAGAUGUGAAAGCCCCGGGCUUAACCUGGGAAUUGCGUUUGAAACUACAAGGCUAGA